rnacentral:rRNA from 1 species
UACGGAGGGGGCUAGCGUUGUUCGGAAUUACUGGGCGUCAAGCGCGCGUAGGCGGACCUGCAAGUCGGGGGUGAAAGCCCGAGGCUCAACCUCGGAACUGCCUUCGAUACUGCGGGUCUCGAGUCCGGGAGAGGUGAGUGGAAUUCCUAGUGUAGAGGUGAAAUUCGUAGAUAUUAGGAAGAACACCAGUGGCGAAGGCGGCUCACUGGCCCGGUACUGACGCUGAGGCGCGAAAGCGUGGGGAGCAAACAGG